UGUAAGUUGUUGUUUAAAGUUGUGUUAGAGGGUGUUAAUAAGUGAUCUGGGUUGUUAGAUCAUAGAUCUAUAACAUCUAGAGGCACGAAAAUCAAGUUUUUAGAAACUGACUUUGAACCCUAAAAUGUUAUCUGACAGCCAUAUGUCAGGGCUUUUAGAUCUGUGUGUGUUAGGUGUUAUGUGUGUUUUAUGUUAUGGAUUUGUUCUUUG
rnacentral:lncRNA from 1 species